AUGGCGUCGUGGUCCGACCUCCCGCUGGAUCUCCUCGGCAGCGUCAUUGCCUGUUUCGGCACUUUGCCUGUCAACCGUGUGCGCUUUGCCGCCGUCUGUCGAUCGUGGCAUGCCGCCGUGUGCCAUCACGAGCGCCGUCGCCUGCCGUGGGUCAUGUCAUGGGACGACCGCGUCAUGAUCCCCUUCGACGGCUCCGAGUAUAACCUCCUAUGCUUCCCCGAAGACGGCGUCGGCGUCGUCGGCUCCACCGACUCCUGGCUCGCCGUCGGCCUCGGCACCAAGCAGGAGUUCGAGGAGGGGAUCAAGUGCAUCUACACCGGCUACGUCCUGCACAACCCCUUCUCCGGCACGACCGUGCCGCUCACCGUGCUCAACGACGUCAUCGUCAACAUUGGGACCUGCUUGAUCUACAAGUUCCUCAUGCGCUCCACCAUCGACGACUUCAUCGCCGUCGUGACAAACAAUGAGAACUACCCGAUCAUUGUGUUCCGGCAAGGGAGAGGAGCGUGGGUGCCGCGCCCAUGCACGGCUCCCUACAUCAACAUCAUUGACGUUGCGUUUUUGGGAGACACGCUCUACGCCAUCACCAAGGCUGAGGACCUCAUCCCCCUCAAUCUUACAUUGGAUGGCGAUGGCAAACCCCUAGUCACGGUUGGCAAGCGUGUUAUCAGGCAACCACCAGGUUAUGAUGCGUGGCACACUUCCGAUGAUGAUGAUGAAGAUCAUAGUGAUGAUGAGAGAGAUGAAGAAGAUGGUGAUGACGACAAUGACGAUCCAGAAGAGGAGGACGUACCUGACCAUGAUGGCAAUAUAGAGGACGAGGAUGUGAACACACUUGACGAAGAUACAGAUAUAGAGGAGGAUGGGAACGAGGACGAGAUAGCUCUCGACGACGGCGCACUCCGACAAGAUGAUGGCAGCCAUCUUUCAAGUUUCUCCGGUGAAUAUGCACAUGACGAAGAAACCGGUGACCUCAUCUUGAUUUCACGACACCUCAUCGUGUCAAGUGGGAAACUCCUGAUGGUAAGGCGACAUAAAUACUACACUGUUCCCAUAUGUACUCGUCAUGUGGAAAUAUUGGAGGCGGAUGCAAGCACAGGCGCAUGGGUCCCAUUGCAUGUUGGCGCCGGGUUAGGCGGCCGCCGAGCACUCUUCAUUAGCAUGAAUUUCUCCAAGUCGGUUUCAGCACCUUCUGGAGAGGUCGAGGAGGAUGUCAUUUAUGAUAUCGACACAGGCGAGGUAUUCGAUAUGAAGGCUCAGACCUCCAAACAAAACAUAUUUUGUAUACCUUCCCAGGGGAUAACUUGGCUCUUCCCUCCAGAGCUGGUGUUAUAA
rnacentral:rRNA from 1 species